rnacentral:rRNA from 1 species
ACGAACGCUGGCGGCGUGCUUAACACAUGCAAGUCGAACGGAAAGGCCCCUUUGGGGGUACUCGAGUGGCGAACGGGUGAGUAACACGUGAGUAACCUGCCCUUGACUUCGGGAUAACUUCAGGAAACUGGGGCUAAUACCGGAUAGGAAUCCUUGCUGCAUGGUGGGGGUUGGAAAGCUUCGGCGGUUUUGGAUGGACUCGCGGCUUAUCAGCUUGUUGGUGGGGUAGUGGCUUACCAAGGCUUUGACGGGGAGCCGGCCUGAGAGGGCGACCGGCCACAUUGGGACUGAGAUACGGCCCAGACUCCUACGGGAGGCAGCAGUGGGGAAUAUUGCACAAUGGGCGGAAGUCUGAUGCAGCAACGCCGCGUGCGGGAUGACGGCCUUCGGGUUGUAAACCGCUUUCAGCAGGGGCGAAGCUUGUGGUGACGGUACCUGCAGAAGAAGCACCGGCUAACUACGUG